UUUAGUUGGUGUAAAGUCACACAAUCUUUUCGUGAUUGAGGGGUAUUAAAG
rnacentral:tRNA from 2 species